UACGUAGGGUGCGAGCGUUAAUCGGAAUUACUGGGCGUAAAGUGUGCGCAGGCGGCCGAGCAAGUCGAGUGUGAAAGCCCCGAGCUUAACUUGGGAACUGCGCUCGAAACUACUUGGCUAGAGUGUGGCAGAGGGAGGUGGAAUUCCACGUGUAGCGGUGAAAUGCGCAGAUAUCAGGAGGAACACCGGUGGCGAAGGCGGGUCUCUGGGCCGUAACUGACGCUGAGGAGCGAAAGCGUGGGGAGCGAACAGG
rnacentral:rRNA from 1 species